CUGGCCAACUUCCAAUCAGUGGGGACCUUCCCAGACAGCAAUGACUUUUGACUUUUGAUCCUGCUGUCACAUUCAACAGCUCCUGCAAUACUCUGGGAUGAACCUCACGUGGUCUCAUGAUGUUAUGAAAAGUGACGCAGACUAUCUCUCAAUAUCAAGCUGAGAAUUAUGGUGCGCUACAUGGAAUGCUUUCCAUCUAUAUCUUCUUUUUUUGUCCAAUUGAAUCCUUUAGAUCAUGAAGCAAAAUAUGCUCCUUUGAGAGGCAGGUACUCCUUAGAAAAGUACGCAAGUGUUUGGACAAAAGGCAGAUUUGUUUUUAGAAGGCUGCACAUACACACAUUUUUUUACUCAUUCUCUUUUCAAGUAACCCUGAUUCAGCCGAAGCCACAGUCCUAGAAUAUCCAUAGACCAGCUGACUGCAUAUGGCAAAUGGUAGUUUUCCUUAAGUGCAGUAGAAUUUUUCCUGAAGUGCAUCAGAAUUUCAGUCAGGACUAUUCAUGGUUAUUAAAGUACUUAGGUAAAGGAAAAAAGAAAAAUAACUACAGAUGCCAAUAGCUUUUAUUUAAAUUCAAGGAUGACUGAAAGUCCAAGGGCAGUCUGCAAUUCAGUAAAAAGAUUACUAAAUCUGAGAUAUGAAAAGAGAGACAGGUUACUGGAACAGGAGGUGUUUUUCUUGGAAAUGGUACAGUGUAUGUGUUUGCCUAUCUGUCUAUUUAUAACAUGAAACAUGACCCGAGCACAUUUUUCCUGUGCAACAUUUUAUUAAGUGUUGCACGGCUUUUGAAUACUUUAGUAAUGGUGAAAUACACUCAAAAGCUACUAUUAUGAACUGACCCACUUUUCUCUCAAACUUGUCAAAACCUCUUUAGUAACAAUAAUGAUAAUUAAUAAACCUGUUUAUUCUUCCAUCAGGUUUUGAACCUGAGUUGAAAAGAA